GAUACCCACUGGAUGCCAGAGACAAGGCUAGCAAGUUGCCCAGAAAAGGAACAUAAAGUUGAAUUUUUAAUUAGCUUUUCCCCCUUAAGAAUCUCCCAGUUUGGUUGGUCAAGGGUCAAGAACCCAAAUAAGGGAGGAGGCAGAAACAGCCAUAAAGAGUGAAAGAUUAAAUGAUACGGGAUGAAGUGAUGAAGAGGAUGGGGGAAGUGCCACCAGAGCCAUCUCAGUUUGCAACGAAUGGCCAGAGAAGGCAUUCUAGGUGGGGGGCUGGCCUAAGCAAGGGUGGGAGCCCAGGCCUAGGGAAAAGUUUGGUUUGCUAAGAGAGUUGCCCAGCCACAGAAUAGCAGAAAGUAAGCUUGAAAGGGAGGCUGGGUCAGAUCACAAAAGCUAAUGGAGUGCAGGCUUCGUUCAGAGUGGAACUGGGACCCACAGAAGGUUUCUGAGUGGGGGAGAGUGGCGACCAGAACGAUACUUCAGGCAGGGCCUUGCAGGAGACGCAGGCACACAGAUGAAAGAAGCCAUUGCAAUGCUGUAAGAGAAAUGAGUCCAGGACACAAAGAAGCAACUGUCUACCACCAAGCAUGGGCUCCAGUCAGACACAUAUGGACACAAAUCUCAGCUCAUCUUUAUCAGCAUCAUGAGGCUCCUUCAUCUGUAAAAUGGCAUGAUGACAGCAUCUUGUACUUAGGCUUUAAGAAUUAAAUAUCUAUGGAAUGCUUAGCCCAGAGUCCAGCACACACCCACAGGAAUCCUAGGAUGGCUUGUGGAAUGUGAAGUGCUGCCUCCAGUCUUAAGAAGAGAAUGCACUAUGAAAGGGGAACUGGAGAAUCACGAGGAGGUAAGUUAUGAAGUCAGAGCAUCCUGACCCAAGCCCAUGAAGGACACCUGGCCUGGAAGCUACUCCCACGUCCUGCAGAUGCAUGGGCAGAGCAUGACUUGGUGGUAUGGUGAAGUAACACCCACCCGAGUGCUAGGACCCAGCUCAGGAACGGGGCGGGGGGCUCCAUUCUUCAGGGUCACAGGUGAGCCACCAAUUAGUGAGCACCUGCUGGAUGCCAGGCCUGUGCUGGACACUUGGCCUACCUCCACUCUUCAGAGCAGCCUCCUGAUGCAGACACUGUCACAGCCUCCAUCUCCCAGAUGCAAAAGCUGAGGCUCUGAGACUCGCUCAGGUUCGUAAGGCAGUGAGGGGCAGCUCUGGGACAAACUGCAGAAGCCCAGCCAUACUGCCUCCUGCUGGUGAUGACUGUGGGCCAAAAGAGGGCAAGUCUGGGUUCUCUGGCAGGUUUGCAGGCUCGACCUCCUCAUCUGUAGAAUGGGGUGAGUGACAAUCCCCUCCCCAGUCUCACCAGGGGCUGGCCUCGCUGUUGUUCUGAGGUCUGCGGGAGCUAUUAGUACAUAAGGAGUGCAGCCUCCGUGCCCAGAUUAUCUAUAACUGAUGUGACACAAAGGGAUCGCAUUGUGCUAAAUCAACCAGCCAGGCCCGUCCCCAGCUCUCUCCUGGCCCACAGGGGCCAGGUCGCUUCCUUUGUUCUGCAGGCACCGGCCUGGUAACGAGGCAGCCAGAAGCUCAGCUGUCGACCUUUUUUCAUUAUUUUCUACCCUGUUAACCUCUAUCACCAGUGACGCUGCUGUCAGACUAAAUGAGAACUGAAAAGAUUUACCUCACGUGUCCCAGGCCUCAGUCAGGAAAAAAGACCCUUCAUUUCCUAACAGCCCUGAUGACCCUUUCUCUGCGAGUCACUCCCAUCCAGGAAAAAGAUGUGACAACAACAUCAGGCGGGGACUUGUGACUAGACCAGGUGAUUGGAAUCACCCCAGUAUGGCUUUGCAAAGCGCUGUGGGUUUUUUAUUCUUUAUUGCAUUGUAUUUACCUUCAUAAUUAUGUUUGCUUACACAAAUAUUAA